AAGCGGCUCUGGGGAACGCCCGUGGUGACCUGAGCGGCGAGGGCAGAGCGGGGCGGCCUUCCCGGGGCUGCAGAAACCACGGCACACGUGGCGGGGUGGAGUGCAAAUCCAAGUUUGAUAUGUGCGUGAUCUGUGUGUACAAAAGUAUCAGCUGGCUGCUGGGACCUCUUCUGAGGGCAGCUAGCUCUGGAAUGAAAUUCUGAUUUUUGCAGGGCCAGGCCUGGAGUGGAAAGAUUCUCAUGAGAAAGGGAAAGGCCUAGCAAGCUCUGAGGUGGCAACAACCCUCAAAGGUACAGAGGGUACAGAGGAACAGAGGCCAAGAGCCCACGGCGACCAAGGGCUUGUUUAGGGUCUGGAACACCCAGUGGAGGGGAAGCCAAUCUUCAGUCCUCACCGUGGCAUCUCCAGGGAACAAAACAGUAGGAGGCAGUAACCAAGUCUCCACUCUACGGGAAACACCCAGGUGACCCAAGCUUGCUCUGGCUUUCUUCCUGCGGCACAACUCUGACACCCGGUGGCCGGGAGGGAAAUGCAGACACAGGAUCAGCCUGGCUACUGCCAACAGCUACGUACUGGGGAGACAACCCACACACUUCAGGCCACGUUUCACGAGUAAGCUGUGUCUCUGUCUGCACCUGCUGAUAAAAGUGACAACGACCGACACUUACCAACG